ACGGAGGGUCCAAGCGUUAUCCGGAUUCAUUGGGUUUAAAGGGUCCGUAGGCUGGAAAAUAAGUCAGUGGUGAAAGCCUACAGCUUAACUGUAGAACUGCCAUUGAAACUGUUUUUCUUGAAUUUAGAUGAAGUGGGCGGAAUAUAUCAUGUAGCGGUGAAAUGCAUAGAUAUGAUAUAGAACACCGAUUGCGAAGGCAGCUCACUAAACUAACAUUGACGCUGAGGGACGAAAGCGUGGGGAGCGAACAGG
rnacentral:rRNA from 1 species